rnacentral:lncRNA from 1 species
UUUGCCUUGCCAUGGCUAUCUGUAGGCACGCCACAAGCUUUUAGGCAUUGAUCCUUCCCACAGUUCUGGUCUGCUGCACUUUAUUAUCCAUAUCCCCAUGUGGGAGUAAGUGUUUUGCCAACUUGCUUAGUCAUGCACACUACCUUCGCUGUGGCAAAGUUAGCAUUGACAGAAUCAACAAACAUGGCCUUACUUCCUACUUCGUCAAUCCCUCCUAAAAUGCCUAGAUCUAACAUACCAGUUCGUACGAAGAUAUCUGAGGCUGCUUGGUUGGCAAGUAAAUUGUCGGCAAGCCAACAACGGCUGUCCUUCACUUGGUUUGAUUCCACACUUGGCAAUUGGCUUGCCAACAUUAUUUUACACUAGCACAUAUGCCCGUGCGUUGCAGCAGGGUAAUAAAGAUAUAUAUACAUUAUUCUACAGGCAAACGUGAUCAUGAUUUUGUUAAAAUCUUGAACCAAGUCGGCAAGCAUAUAAUACUCACAUUUAAUCUUCAAUAGAAAACAGGAAGGUAACAAACUCCUAUAACUGUAGACAAAACUACAAUAGUAGCACUAAUUGUUCACAUGCAUUUCCAGUUUGCCUUUCCUCCCUUUUCAAUGUACAAGCCAAUCAUCUAUCUAUAGCAUUUAACUCUUGUUGCAUGCAUGUGUGGAGAAACAGGAAAUGAGGGAGAAACAGUCAGCUAGCCAAUGCAUGGGUUAGUCCAACCAUCACAACAGUUAAUACAAGAUUAACUAGAGGGAGAGAAUCAUGUUGUGCCAAUGCAUGGGUUAGUCCAACCAUCACAACAAUUAAUACAAGCUUAACUAGAGGGAGAGAAUCAUGCUGUGCCGAUGCAUGGGUAGUCCAACCAUCACAACAAUUAAUACAAGAUUAACUUGAGGGAGAGAAUCAUGCUGUGAGUGGCUUUCUUAAUGGGUCAAAAAAUUCAUGCCAUCCAAUCCAUAUAUGCCUAGAUCAUGCUGCCUUUCCAUAGACGGCCUAUGCACCUGGAGAGAGGGAGUAUAUUAUAGUCUUUACUAAAAAAACGUUGGCGUGUGGCAGUCUCGGUGGCAGCCUAUCCUUUACACGUGGCGAAGUCGUCUCCGCCCUCAAUCCUUGUUGUCCACAGGCAGGAUCGACACUCCACGGCUCGGAGUGACAUGGUAGGGAGCCUUCUCCAGUGACAACUGGGUGUGUUUGUUACUUUUCUGGUCUCUUUUUUAAAAGUUCUCAACCAAGCCCAUAUGUUCUCAACAUUUUCCAAUUCUGUGCCUUUUCUGGGCGUUGGCCUGGGAAAAGCUGCUCAAACGGAGUGGUGCAGAGUCGAUAGUCAGGCUCAUUAGCAAAGCACCGCGCGGAAGCAGGCCCGUUAAUGCGGAUGUAACCAUCAACAUACAAAAGGCACAGUGGGGUGAUGGACGAAAAUUUGCGAUAUACGAAAGGCAGGGUGACAGACUAAAAUUUGAGGGAAGAAAGAAUCCUCCCAUCAAUAUUAUUAUUAUUAUUAGGUAUAGAUGUUGGCUUCCUUGUCACCCUUCAGUUGGUUUAGGUACAAAUUUAGCACAAAUUGGCUUACCAACUAUGAAGUGUCUACUUGAAAUAUACAGGUCAAGCAAAGGCAAGAAGCUUUCACCAAUCCAGGACUUUUUGUUGCUAUAAUAAAUAUAGACAAAGCAAAAAAAAUCAGAAACUCAUUCGUCACAACUAAGAUGGCCAGAUUUAGCAUACAAGUCAAUAAAAAGAUCACAAUGAAAUACAAUAG